ensembl:lncRNA
AGCUCCCAUGAUGGAAUUAGUGCCCUUAUAAGACACCCCAGAGGUCUCUCUGCCCCUCUACCAUGUAAGGACAUAGCAAGAAGACGGCCAUCUAUGAACCAGGAAGUGUGUCCUCACCAGACACAGAAGCUACUGGAGCCCUGGUCAUGAACUUAUAGCCUCCCGAACUGUGAGAAAAUGUUCCAGUGCUGUCAGGUUUAGUGACGAAGAGGGCCACACCUGUAUACACCAGGAAGUAGAAAGCACCAGGCUGAACUAGGGUAGCCUACCGUCUCCAGGCACAGCUCCUUCAGGACAUUUCUGCCCUCCCACGGGAGCACUAUCUUCAGAAGGUUCCAAACUGCAAACCUUGAACUUGGUCUGCCUCAGACUUCAUCAAUGGAUGUUCAGCUUCCAGAGAGAAAUUUCACUGCUUGGAGACACCAGGAGGAAACGCGGACUUUAAAAGUCAGCAGCAGGAUCAGCUCCCUUCAGUGUUCAGAGGUCGUCACAGAAGGCUGGAGAAAGUUGAUAAGAGAAGAAGGGGUCUCAUUUCAGACACCUGAGCAUCCUUCAAACAGAUAUUGACUUAAGGAUCCAGUCCAGCUGAGGAUAACUUAGUGCUCUGAAUGGAUAUCAUUUGGAAAAUUCAGGGGCUUCCCAAGUGACACUGGUGGUAAAGAACACGCCUGCCAAUGCAGACCUAAGAGAUGGGAGUUCGAUCCUUGGGUCAGGAAGAUCCCUGGGAAGACACACAGCAACCUACUCCAGUACUGUUUCCUGGACAAUCUCAUGGACAGAGCCUGGUGGGCUACAGUCCAUAGGGUCCCACAGAGUCGGACAAGACUGAAGUGACUUAGCAU